UAAGGAAUAUUGCUCAAUGGGAGAAAUCCUGAAGCAGCAACGCCGCGUGGAGGAUGAAGGGUUUUUAACUUGUAAACUCCUGUAAAGAAGGAAAAAAUUCCCAUUAGAUGGGAAAUGAUGGUACUUCUGGAGUAAGCCCCGGCUAACUACGUGCCAGCAGCCGCGGUAAUACGUAGGGGGCAAGCGUUGUCCGGAUUUACUGGGUGUAAAGGGUGCUCAGGCGGAUUUGUAAGUCAGAGGUGAAAUCUCACAGCUUAACUGUGAAACUGCCUUUGAUACUGCAAGCCUAGAGUAUGGAAGAGAGUGAUGGAAUAUCUGGUGUAGCAGUGAAAUGCGUAGAUAUCAGAUAGAACACCAAUGGCGAAGGCAGUCACUUGGUCCAUAACUGACGCUAAAGCACGAAAGCGUGGGUAGCAAACAGGAUUAGAUACCCUGGUAGUCCACGCCCUAAACGAUGAAUACUAGAUGUUGGCUUCGCAUGAAGUCAGUAUCUGAGCUAACGCAUUAAGUAUUCCACCCGGGAAGUACGAUCGCAAGGUUGAAACUCAAAUGAAUUGACGGGGUCAUAGCUGUUCC
rnacentral:rRNA from 1 species